rnacentral:rRNA from 1 species
CCUACGGGGGGCAGCAGUCGAGAAUCAUUCACAAUGGGGGAAACCCUGAUGGUGCGACGCCGCGUGGGGGAAUGAAGUUCUUCGGAUUGUAAACCCCUGUCAUGUGGGAGCAAAUUAAAAAGAUAGUACCACAAGAGGAAGAGACGGCUAACUCUGUUCCAGCAGCCGCGGUAAUACAGAGGUCUCAAGCGUUGUUCGGAAUCACUGGGCGUAAAGCGUGCGGAGGCUGUUUCGUAAGUCGUGUGUGAAAGGCGCGGGCUCAACCCGCGGACGGCAGAUGAUACUGCGAGACUAGAGUAGUGGAGGGGGAACCGGAAUUCGCGGUGUAGCAGUGAAAUGCGUAGAUAUCGAGAGGAACACUCGUGGCGAAGGCGGGUUCCUGGACAUUAACUGACGCUGAGGCACGAAGGCCAGGGGAGCGAAAGGGAUUAGAUACCCCUGUAGUC